rnacentral:rRNA from 1 species
CCCGCUGAACUUAAGCAUAUCAAUAAGCGGAGGAAAAGAAACUAACAAGGAUUCCCCUAGUAACUGCGAGUGAAGCGGGAAAAGCUCAAAUUUAAAAUCUGGUGGUCUCUGGCCAUCCGAGUUGUAAUUUAGAGAAGCGUCUUCCGCGCCGGGCCGUGCACAAGUCUCCUGGAAUGGAGCGUCAUAGAGGGUGAGAAUCCCGUCUUUGGCACGGACGCCUGUGCUUCUGUGAUGCGCUCUCGAAGAGUCGAGUUGUUUGGGAAUGCAGCUCAAAAUGGGUGGUGAACUCCAUCUAAAGCUAAAUAUUGGCGAGAGACCGAUAGCGAACAAGUACCGUGAGGGAAAGAUGAAAAGCACUUUGGAAAGAGAGUUAAACAGUACGUGAAAUUGCUGAAAGGGAAACGCUUGAAGUCAGUCAUGUCUGCCAGGACUCAGCCUUGCUUCUGCUUGGUGUACUUUCUGGUUUGAUGGGCCAACAUCGAUUUUGACCGUUGGAGAAAGGCUUUGGGAAUGUGGCACCUUUGGGUGUGUUAUAGCCCUUUGUUGUAUACAGCGGUUGGGAUCGAGGACUGCAGCACGCCUUCACGGCCGGGGUUCGCCCACGUACGUGCUUAGGAUGUUGGCAUAAUGGCUUUAAGCGACCCGUCUUGAAACACGG